rnacentral:lncRNA from 1 species
UGGGUUGCUGCAGGCCCGUGUCAACACUUCUCCAAGAGUGGGCUGCAACAUCAUUUUCUAGCAGCUGAAAACCGUGUGUGCCUUGCUGGACGUUGCAACUGCUGCAAUGGGCUUGGUGCUGCAGUUGGACCGCUUUCUGUCUACUGCCAUCACGUGCUGCUGCGUCUCCAAAUUAGUUUGUUUCUUUAGUUUGUGCAGGCAACAUGGACGUUUGCUGGAUGCUGGAACAUGGAUGCAACAACUUGCUUGAUGAAUCAACCCACACCGCUUGCUGCUUCCUUUUUUAUUUCUCAUGGGCCGUGUUGUGUUU